UAUCUUGACAAUGAAUUCACUAGCAACAUGAAUUACAUAAAAUAAACAAAACAAUUGACCAAUACAAAACCAAACCGAAAUGUAAUAUGAUGGAUAAAUAAUUAAUACAAACCUUAACGUAACAAUUAUUCAAAUGGGAUGGUUCAAAGAAGACGAUAUUUGUGAAGGUCGGCCACCAAAGAGGGUUAUAUUAUGUUCAGAGAUUUGCGGCCUCUGCUUCGGCUACCUCUUUCUAUGCUUGGCUAGAGCAAUACCUUUAUUAAUUUAUCUCGUUACUGGCAUAAUCUUUAUUAUCUUCCAAAUCAUGUGCUGUUUAUUCUGCUGCUGCCCUAUAUAGACUAAAGAAAACACCAUGUGUAUUUAUAGCCUAUUUUUUGACAUGAAUACGCUGUAUGACAUUCGGUUACUGUUCAGGUUGUUUAAAUUUGGACUCUAUUAGCUAGUGCUUGAAGUUUAUUUUUAGUUGACUGUUUUCUUAGUUUGGCUGGGAAAAUGAUCAACCAUAGUUGCUUGAUAUGUACUUGUAACAUCAAGUGGUAAUUUCGUUUAUUCCCCAUUCACUGCAAAAAAUCAUUGUUCCCUUAUAUUGCAAGCUGAUUACACAUUUUAAACCAUAAA